rnacentral:rRNA from 1 species
AGGUCCUACGGGACGCAGCAGUGGGGGAUAUUGCACAAUGGGGGAAACCCUGAUGCAGCGACGCCGCGUGGGUGAAGAAGCGCCUCGGCGCGUAAAGCCCUGUCAGCAGGGAAGAAAAUGACGGUACCUGAAGAAGAAGCCCUGGCUAACUACGUGCCAGCAGCCGCGGUAAUACGUAGGGGGCAAGCGUUAUCCGGAUUUACUGGGUGUAAAGGGGGCGCAGACGGCGAUGCAAGCCAGGCGUGAAAGCCCGGGGCCCAACCCCGGGACUGCUCUUGGAACUGCGGGGCUAGAGAGCAGGAGGG